rnacentral:rRNA from 1 species
AACGAACGCUGGCGGCAUGCCUAACACAUGCAAGUCGAACGAGACCUUCGGGUCUAGUGGCGCACGGGUGCGUAACGCGUGGGAACCUGCCCUUAGGUUCGGAAUAACUCCCCGAAAGGGGUGCUAAUACCGGAUAAUGUCUUCGGACCAAAGAUUUAUCGCCUUUGGAUGGGCCCGCGUUGGAUUAGCUAGUUGGUAAGGUAAAAGCCUACCAAGGCGACGAUCCAUAGCUGGUCUGAGAGGAUGAUCAGCUACACUGGGACUGAGACACGGCCCAGACUCCUACGGGAGGCAGCAGUGGGGAAUAUUGGACAAUGGGCGAAAGCCUGAUCCAGCAAUGCCGCGUGAGUGAUGAAGGCCUUAGGGUUGUAAAGCUCUUUUACCCGGGAUGAUAAUGACAGUACCGGGAGAAUAAGCGCCGGCUAACUCCGUG